UACAGAGGCCUCGAGCGUUAAUCGGAAUCACUGGGCUUAAAGGGUGCGUAGGCGGCGCUGCAAGUGCCUUGUGAAAUCCCAUCGCUUAACGAUGGAACUGCUCGGUAGACUGCAGUGCUUGAGGUUGGUAGGGGCUGCCGGAACUCUAGGUGGAGCGGUGAGAUGCGUAGAUAUCAUUUGGAACGCCAAUGGUGAAAACAGGUAGCUGGGAGUGUGCUGACGCUGAGACACGAAAGCCAGGGGAGCGAACGGG
rnacentral:rRNA from 1 species